ACGGAAGGCAGCAGUGGGGGAUAUUGCACAAUGGGGGAAACCCUGAUGCAGCGACGCCGCGUGAGUGAUGAAGUAUUUCGGUAUGUAAAGCUCUAUCAGCAGGGAAGAAAAUGACGGUACCUGACUAAGAAGCACCGGCUAAAUACGUGCCAGCAGCCGCGGUAAUACGUAUGGUGCAAGCGUUAUCCGGAUUUACUGGGUGUAAAGGGAGCGUAGACGGCAUAGCAAGCCAGAUGUGAAAGGUGGGGGCUCAACCCCCAAGCUGCAUUUGGAACUGUUAAGCUAGAGUAUCGGAGAGGUAAGUGGAAUUCCUAGUGUAGCGGUGAAAUGCGUAGAUAUUAGGAGGAACACCAGUGGCGAAGGCGGCUUGCUGGACGACAACUGACGCUGAGGCGCGAAAGCGUGGGGAGCAAACAGGAUUAGAUACCCUGGUA
rnacentral:rRNA from 1 species